rnacentral:tRNA from 1 species
GCCUGCCUAGCUCAAUCAGAUAGAGCGUCAGACUUUUAUUUAGGUGGAUUGAUCUGAAGGCUGCGAGUUCGACCCUCGCGGUGGGCU